rnacentral:rRNA from 1 species
UAGGGAAUCUUCCGCAAUGGACGCAAGUCUGACGGAGCAACGCCGCGUGAGUGAAGAAGGAUUUCGGUUCGUAAAACUCUGUUGUUAGAGAAGAACAGCGCAUAGAGUAACUGUUAUGCGUGUGACGGUAUCUAACCAGAAAGCCACGGCUAACUACGUGCCAGCAGCCGCGGUAAUACGUAGGUGGCAAGCGUUGUCCGGAUUUAUUGGGCGUAAAGCGAGCGCAGGCGGUCAAUUAAGUCUGAUGUGAAAGCCCCCGGCUCAACCGGGGAGGGUCAUUGGAAACUGGUUGACUUGAGUGCAGAAGAGGGGGGUGGAAUUCCAUGUGUAGCGGUGAAAUGCGUAGAUAUAUGGAGGAACCCCAGUGGCGAAGGCGACUCUCUGGUCUGUAACUGACGCUGAGGCUCGAAAGCGUGGGUAGCAAACAGG